rnacentral:rRNA from 1 species
CAGCAGCCGCGGUAAUACAGAGGAUGCGAGCGUUGUCCGGAAUUACUGGGCGUAAAGAGCUCGUAGGUGGUCUGUCGCGUCAUUUGUGAAAGCCCCCGGCUCAACCGGGGAGGGUCAUUGGAAACUGGUUGACUUGAGUGCAGAAGAGGAGAGCGGAAUUCCAUGUGUAGCGGUGAAAUGCGUAGAUAUAUGGAGGAACACCGGUGGCGAAAGCGGCUCUCUGGCUUGUAACUGACGCUGAGGCUCGAGAGCGUGGGGAGCAAACAGGAUUAGAUACCCGCGUAGUCCCUGUCUCUUAUAC